UACAGAGGGUGCGAGCGUUGUUCGGAAUUACUGGGCGUAAAGCGCGCGCAGGCGGCCUUUUAAGUCUACCCGUGAAAUGCCGGAGCUCAACUCCGUGCACGCCGGGGGAUACUGGGAGGCUGGAGACAGGUAGAGGCAAGCGGAAUUCCGGGUGUAGCGGUGGAAUGCGUAGAUAUCCGGAAGAACACCUGAGGCGAAGGCGACUACCUGGCCUGUUCUUGACGCUGAGGCGCGAAAGCUAGGGGAGCAAACGGG
rnacentral:rRNA from 1 species